AGGAUCAACGCUGGCGGCGUGCCUAACACAUGCAAGUCGAACGAGAAAGUGGAGCAAUCCAUGAGUAAAGUGGCGCAACGGGUUGAGUAACACGUGACUAACCUACCUUUUAGUGGGGGAUAACCUAGGGAAACCUGGCUAAUACCGCAUUAACACUUACGAGUCAAAGACAGCAAUGCGCUGAAAGAGGGGUCGCGGCCGAUUAGCUAGUUGGCGGGGUAAUGGCCCACCAAGGCGAUGUAUCGGUAUCCGGCCUGAGAGGGCGCACGGACACACUGGAACGUGAAACAC
rnacentral:rRNA from 1 species